UCGGGAUAGCUCAGCUGGUAGAGCAAGA
rnacentral:tRNA from 1 species